rnacentral:lncRNA from 1 species
AAAUUAUAUGCAAGAUAUGUUUCUUGCAUUACUAUUGUCCUUUGGUAAUCACAUUGACAAAUUAUUUUGGCAUACAACUAAUGACCAUUCAUGCCAUAAUAAUGACAUCAUCUCAAACGUCCUUCUAGGGGUGAGUGUGGUAUCAUCUCAAACCUCCUUCUAGGGGUGAGUGUGGUAUCAUCUCAAACCUCCUUCUAGGAGUGAGUGUGN